UUAUUUUCAAAGGUUUAAUUCUUGUAUACAUGUAUUUUCUGCACAUAUCUAAAAUAUAUAAAUAAAAACACAUUUUAAUUUACAAAUUGAAAGCACCUUACAAUAAAUAUCACAAAUAUCACCCAUUUAUACAAUACUGAGGGCCACAAUAUGUGAUGUGGCCAGUUAUGGUCAUGAUGUAACUCUUAGCAAUCUUUUACUCAAAUGUACAACAUCUGGACAACACAAAAUCUUAAAUAUUUAUAAAAAUCAACAAACAAUAUCAUAAGGCAUAGUUUUUAACACAAGUUUUUGUAAUAAGAUACAUGUUAUGACAAACUACAUGAUAUUGAUGUGUGAUAUUCCUUCUGCUCUAAAUCUUACCCACUUUAUCCUUUUCCUAAUACCAGUAAAUAAUUUUUAUUUAAUCAACAUGUGAUUUCUGUGAUCUCACUUCCUCAUUGGUCAAAAUUUGAUUAUGACAUCAGGUUUUCUUGCCUUUCUCUGAAAUUGUGAUGUCAUGAAAACAAGAGUCUCUCAAGAGCCUGAAUCGCUCACCUUAAUUCUUUUGGUUAAAUCUCUCAUCAAUGAUUAUUUUGGCUUUUCAAUUUAUUUAAAUGUGUUUUGGAUCGUCCUAUUUUCUUAAAAAGCCAAAAAAAAAUAAUCAUUUUCUCCUAUGUUCUAUUUUAGCCAUAGAAGCUAUGUUUCUUGACAUACAAGGAAAUAAAAUAUAAAAUUUAUACUAGAUACUCUGAAACUCAUUUAGCCUAAGUUUGGCUGAAAUUGAUACAGCAGUUUCAAAGGAGAAGAUUUUUUAAAGUAAGUCAACAUGAUGAACAAAUUGUGAAAAAAAGUCUUUAAAGGGCAAUAACUCCUUAAGGGGUCAAUUGACAAUUUUGGUCAAAUUGACUUAAUUGAAGAUCUUACUUUGCUGAACAUUAUUGCUGUUUACAGUUUAUUUCUAUCUAUAAUUAUAUUCAAGAUAAUAAACAAAAACAGCAAAAUUUCCUUAAAAUUAUCAAUUCAGGGGCAGCAACCCAACAACAGGUUGUCUGAUUCAUCUGAAACUUUC
rnacentral:lncRNA from 1 species